AAAAAAUAAUAUUUGAGAUCCUGGACGAGGAAGGACUUUGGUGAAUGGGCUCAGACUGCUGAGGUUGUGAAUGAGGUAACUGAUACGCCCGGGGACCCUCUCGUGUACCCCCAGAUGUAAUUAUGAAAGAAUAUGUUACUUCUGUGAGCAAGUAAUGCAUUUUUUUCUCUUCUGUUUUUUGUCUCAUUUACGAAAUGUUCUGGCAACUGUGUUUGAUACAUGAGGGCGUUGCAACUAAUUAAAAAAAUAUCUCUUUUUCAUGCUGAAAGACGAUUCUGUGAUCUGCACGGUAGUCAAAGUGACUGCGGAAGGCUGCGACUGCUGCGAUUGUUUUUAAUUACCAGCUCUUCCCACGCUGUGGUCAAUGAAUCUCCCAUCUCCUGGACUGAAAUGUCUGACACUUGUAGAAUCAUUUAUUUGGGGCUGAGUCGCACACCUCCAGCAGCGCUUUAACAGUGGGCUGAUGGUACGCUGGCUAUAAUUACAUUUUCUUUAAGGAGCAGGGAGUGGGGAGGGGUGAAAAUAAGCUUGACCUUGUGCUUCUCAUGCAGUCCUUAGAGUAAGGGGUGGUGUCCAGCAUCAACUGUUGAAGGACGCCUUGGGCGCCGGAGAAACGAGCAGAUUAGCUGUGGCAGGAUUGAUUUCUUGCUCCUCAUGUCAAACAACCAACAUUGGGACCAGAACCUGCUGCUCUUUGCGUUUUGUUGGAUGCCUUUGGAAGACGGGACAGACGGGGCGGCCCUUUGGUGGCAAAGAGGAGGAUGAGCUGGGUCUCCAAACAGCUCCCUCUGGCUGCUCCAAGAAGCUGAACUGGUGGCUUCUGGUCCCUGGAAGCCAUGUCUGGUGGUCACAGGCCACUAUACACUGCUCACUUGACUGCUAACUCCACUUUUUAAGCUGAAUUAUGCAAGAAAUGCUGUGAAACAUCAGACAUUGAGGAGCUGAGGAAGAUCCUUCUCAAUGUAUGAACUCAUUUCUGGAUAAAAUCUGAGUCUCACCUGGAUUCCAGCUCCUCCGGAAAGGACAAAAAGUGGCCAGGAA
rnacentral:lncRNA from 1 species